GUAACUUUACUGGUUCAAUACAACAAACCAAAUCCUUUGACCUGAAAGGAAAUCUGGAACCUAAAAUGAAUUGAUGGCAGCAAAAACGACUAAUGACUCGA